UGAGCAAUCUGCCCUUCUCUUCGGAAUAAGCGUUGGAAACGACGUCUAAUGCCGAAUACGACCUCCUUUCGCAUGAUCGGAGGUGGAAAGCUCCGGCGGAGAAGGAUGAGCUCGCGGCCUAUCAGCUAGUUGGUGUGGGUAAUGGCCCACCAAGGCGACGACGGGUAGCCGGCCUGAGGAGGGUGACCCGGCCACACGUGGGACUGAGACACGGCCCAGACCUCCGUACGGGAGGNAGCG
rnacentral:rRNA from 1 species